ACCAGAUGGAAAAGACUUCUCCCUGACUUUUGUGGCCCAUGCACUGGGGAAGGCUUGUGUUCUUGGACACAGUGGGUUAAUGUUUGAGGUGCUGGCCCCUCGCUUCUCUUCCUAAACGCGCUCUGACAUGGUGGGGCAGAGUGUGUGCUGGAAGCUGCUGGAGAACAUCCUGGAGUGCUGGGUGGACAGUGUGCUCACUGGGCUGGUGCAGGCUGUCAACAGGCCUGACAGAGGUCCAGGAUCAUGGGGAACCUGGUGUUGAAGAACAAAAAGGCCCGUUGUCACCCAUAAACUGCUGCUUCUCCAAUACAAGUCUGAGGUGAGAUGGUAAACUGAUGUUGAACUGGAUAGUCAGUCAUUCAUUCUCUACUAAGUGUCUAUUCAAUCUAUCAUUUUUGGCAUUGAAAUAGCUGAAGUCUUCAACAUUCCCAGACUCGUGUUUUGUGGAUUCUUCCUAAGGACAGGGAGAGUCCACUACUUAUACAGGUGCUGCGGUUGCUGUGCCAGGCCUAGGUCAACCCCCUCUGGAUCAGCAGCUGUAUGUGAGCCGGGCUUUGCUGCUGUGUGUGGGACUACUGAGUGAUGCAGAGCUAUAGGAGCUACGGUCAGAGCUGCUGCAGUUCAUGUAGGGAGGAAUGCAGAGCCACCUGGACAGCAGUGAAAGGCGUGUGAGAGGCGCUGAAAUCAGGAGCUGACCCAGAAUCAGAGCUGGAUAGUAGGCUUUGUCCAAAGAACCAUGGCGGAGUAAGUGCCUACAAGAAGACUGUCACGUCUCCUCCCAUUGUUCCCCUCCGGCGCUCGGAUUCGCCGGUCUACUGAGCCACCGGUAUGAGCGCAUCACCUCGGCAACACCGGAAU